UUUCCACUAUUCUUGAUAUCACACAUAUCUGUUUUGUGAAGAACGUGUCAUGUUCGUCUGUCAACAUCGAGGACAAACAAGACCCCAAACUGUAGUGGGUCCACCAGACCCACGAACACUGGCUGAGUAACAAAAAAUAUGAACACCACACAAGAGUUAACUGCUCAGGACAAACAAGGGACUCAUGAACAACCAGCACAAAACACAGUCAUUGAUCUUCAAGCAAAUCACAGCAACAGCAGCUACAACCACCAGCAGAGCAACAACACCAACAACAAUCCCUGCUAUUUCUGCUGGAG